rnacentral:lncRNA from 1 species
GGCUCACUGCAAGCUCCGCCUCCCGGGUUCACGCCAUCUUGCCACUAAACCUGAUUUACCAACAUAACCUGUUUCUGGCCAUGCUGUGAAUCUGCAUUCUUUACUGUGUCCUUGGGAUACUAGGUCUCUGAUCAAGUGCCACAUCUUUAGAGAAGCUUUUCCAAACAACCGUAAGUAAAAUAGCAUGUGUCCUACCCCUACAGUCUGUCUGUAGUCCCUUAUUCUGAUCUAGUUUCUUCAUGGCACUUAUAUCUGACAUUAUUUGUUUAUGUAUUAUAUAUCUUUCCAAUUAGAAUAUGAGAUGGUUGAGAGAAAGGACUGUUCUCUGUCUUGGUUCACCAUUGUAUCCCAGCACAUAAAACAGUGACACACUUAUGGUAAAUGCUCCAUAAGCAUUUGUUCAAUGAAAGAAUUACAUUUAUUGAACUUUAUAUGCCAGGCCUUGUUUUAUAAGUAUCAUUGCAUUUAAUGUUGACAAUAACGCUAUGGGGUAGAUACCAUCAUCCCUAUUUUGCAAAAGAGAAAAUUUAAAUUUAGCAAGGUUAAAUAAGUUGUUCAGUGGUCACACAGCAGUUAAUUGGAAAACCCAGUAUUUGAACACAGAUAUUCUGAUUCUAGUGGACUUAUUCAUAAUACUCUACUGCCUCUAGUGUUUAUUUAUUGAGCACUUACUAUGUAGCAAGCACUAUGUUAAAUGUUUUAUGGGCAUAAUUUCAUUCAGUCAAUAUCCCUAUCUUUACAGAGAGAAACUUAAAUCUUAGGUAGGUUAUGUAAUUUGCCCUAGUUACACACAUAAUAAUGGGCUAUCCUUUAUGAAAUAUC